CAGGGAGGCAUGGACGGUCAAUGACUGCUCCAGAGCUCCCUGGAAGGGGCAGAGAGCCGCCAGACUGAGAACUAUGGGUCU